rnacentral:misc_RNA from 1 species
CCCAAGCUUGAUUAAAAAGAAACCACCAUAAUUGUUGCUCUCAAGCCAAAUCAAACAUGACCCAUCAAUCCCAGUAUUUUAUAACCCGAAAUAAGAAAUAUGAACAGCUAGAAAACCUAUAAAAUUACAAUCCCAGAAGUAAAAAAAACAAUAUAUACAGAAAACACUCCAAAUAAAACACAAAUUACAGCCUAUAAAUUGAGGAAACCUGCGUGAAAAAUAGAAACUGUAGGUAUAUAAUCUAUAUAAUCUAUAUACAGAAAAUGAAAUGGAUAGGUAAUGAAGAACCUGGAGUUGAAUUAAUCGUUGAGGAAAAGAUUCGAGGGCUGAGAUGGGAGAAAUAGAGGGAGAAACUAGAUUCUUGGCAUAAGGGAAGAUAUCUGAAUCUCUCUCUCUGGUUUUGGCUUCUCC